GCCCGGCUAGCUCAAUCGGUAGAGCGUGAGACUCUUACUGGUUCUACAUGUCAGAAAAAGAGGUUAUCUCAAGGCUGCGGGUUCGACCCCCGCGUUGGGCU